GCGGGUGUAGCUCAAUGGUAGAGCACUGGCCUUCCAAGCCAGGGGUUGCGGGUUCGAGUCCCGUCGCCCGCUCCA
rnacentral:tRNA from 1 species